GACGAACGCUGGCGGCGUGCUUAACACAUGCAAGUCGAACGGAAAGGCCCUGCUUUUGUGGGGUGCUCGAGUGGCGAACGGGUGAGUAACACGUGAGUAACCUGCCCUUGACUUUGGGAUAACUUCAGGAAACUGGGGCUAAUACCGGAUAGGAGCUCCUGCUGCAUGGUGGGGGUUGGAAAGUUUCGGCGGUUGGGGAUGGACUCGCGGCUUAUAAGCUUGUUGGUGGGGUAGUGGCUUACCAAGGCUUUGACGGGUAGCCGGCCUGAGAGGGUGACCGGCCACAUUGGGACUGAGAUACGGCCCAGACUCCUACGGGAGGCAGCAGUGGGGAAUAUUGCACAAUGGGCGGAAGCCUGAUGCAGCAACGCCGCGUGCGGGAUGACGGCCUUCGGGUUGUAAACCGCUUUCGCCUGUGACGAAGCGUGAGUGACGGUAAUGGGUGAAGAAGCACCGGCUAACUACGUG
rnacentral:rRNA from 1 species